rnacentral:lncRNA from 1 species
CAGCCCCCACCCCACCCGGUGGAAGUCCGAGGCCUGAGGGGGGGCAUCGAGCGGGGCGUGGGAGGCCCGCACGCUCCCCACCCCCAGCCGCGACCCGGAGGAGGGGAACGUGCCGGGAGGCUCGAGUCCCCCUCCCAGAGUGCUCUGGGCCGGAGAAACCUCCCGCAGGCUCCCGGGCCAGGCGUGCAAGGCCCCCUCUCCUGCCAGGGCCCAGGACGCUGCGGGCCCCAGCGGAGGGGAAGGGGACUAAGUAGGGGAAGAAGCUGUAAACAGCCCCAGCGUCCGGGCCUCGCCUCGAAGAGCCGCGCUUCCCAGGCCCAGCCGCGGGCCGCCCAGGCCCCCAGCCUGCCCCGGGGCCGCCGCGCCCGGGGUCCGGGACACCGGAGGGGAGUCGGGUCCCCUCCCCGGAGAGCUCCGGGAGCUCGCGGAGCGGCCCCAGGAGCAGAGAAGGGGGAAGUCAGGACUUACCUGUCAUUACUUUCUACGCCAUCUUGGAUCCACUUGUCAACGUCCCCACAAAGCAUUAUGGGCUCUCCCACGGAGCACCCUCUGCUGACUCUGCAGCCCCGCAGGCCUUCCUCGAACAGUCCAUGACAGGAAGCCAGGCUUCCUGGGGUCCUGAGUCAGCAGAGCAGGAAGGAAACAAAGGCCUCAGAACCGCAGAAGAGAAAGAAGGCAGCCUGAAGACAGAAGGCGACCCUCUGAAGACAGGUCUAGAGACUUAACGUAUGAUGUUCCUGGAGUCCUGUUGCCUGUAAGGGAAGCACAAACCCUGAGUUGCACUGUGUCCUCUGACCUGUCUGAUCCCAGGUACCUCUUCAGUAGAAAAAUUCAAUAAGGUUUCUGACACUUUCUACCUAUGGGCCAGUUACAUACAGAAGAGAAAACUGAAACUGAAAACUGGUUUGUCAUUUUUACAGAAAGUCACUGCAAAGAAGGAGAAUUCCAAGUGCAAAUGACUUGAGUACGUAAUUCUUUUGUGCCAUUUCUGUUACUAUAGGGUUAAUCCAGUAUGAAGAAAGUGACAAAGGGCAGCAUUUAUUUUUAUGGAUUCCACAUUAUAACCAAGUACUUGGCAACCUGCCCUCUCAUAUGUUGCGAAACAAAAAUGUUGCUUUCAGUGUGUUUUUAAUAGGCCAAGCAGUUUGUUUGAUCACAGUGGUCGGGUAUACACUCAGAGACGCCAGAACAUUCUCAUUGCGUUUUCACUGCUUUGGUUAACAUCUUGGUCUCCUGUCCGCACUCUAAAGAACCAUUUGAGGACUCAGGGGAGUCAUGUCCUGGGAGUGACUAUGGGUCCUAGGCCACAGCCCCCACUCUCUCAGCCUAAACCACUCAAAGGCACUCAGAUCCGGAUUUGCAAAAUAUUUUGCAAAACUUGCAAAAACCCCACCAGUUUUAGAUUUUGAAAUUGUUGGCACAGGCAACCGUCUACAAUCAUGAAAUUCUCAUGAGUGAGGUG